rnacentral:ncRNA from 2 species
UACGUAGGUGGCAAGCGUUGUCCGGAUUUAUUGGGUUUAAAGGGUGCGUAGGCGGCCCUAUAAGUCAGUGCUGAAAUAUCCCGGCUUAACCGGGAGGGUGGCAUUGAUACUGUAGGGCUUGAGUAAAGUUGAGGUUGGCGGAAUUGACGGUGUAGCGGUGAAAUGCUUAGAUAUCGUCAAGAACACCUAUUGCGAAGGCAGCUAACUAAGCUUUAACUGACGCUGAGGCACGAAAGUGUGGGGAUCAAACAGG